rnacentral:rRNA from 1 species
AGUGAACGCUGGCGGUAGGCCUAACACAUGCAAGUCGAACGGCAGCACAGUAAGAGCUUGCUCUUACGGGUGGCGAGUGGCGGACGGGUGAGGAAUACAUCGGAAUCUACUUUUUCGUGGGGGAUAACGUAGGGAAACUUACGCUAAUACCGCAUACGACCUACGGGUGAAAGCAGGGGAUCUUUGGACCUUGCGCGAUUGAAUGAGCCGAUGUCGGAUUAGCUAGUUGGCGGGGUAAAGGCCCACCAAGGCGACGAUCCGUAGCUGGUCUGAGAGGAUGAUCAGCCAUACUGGAACUGAGACACGGUCCAGACUCCUACGGGAGGCAGCAGUGGGGAAUAUUGGACAAUGGGCGCAAGCCUGAUCCAGCCAUACCGCGUGGGUGAAGAAGGCCUUCGGGUUGUAAAGCCCUUUUGUUGGGAAAGAAAAGCAGCAGGUUAAUACCCCGCUGUUCUGACGGUACCCAAAGAAUGAGCACCGGCUAACUUCGUG